AUGGAGGACUGGGUGUACUACUUCCUCUCCAUCACCUUGUGCCUCACCCUGUCCCUUGUGUUCUCAUCCCUGCGCGAAUGCAAGGCGGCGGGCUCGCCGUUCCUCCCGCCUGGGCCGACCUCGCUGACGGCUUUCGGCCCGCUGCUUUUGCUCGCCUGGACAAGCGUCAACAUCGAGUCGGUAGUCCGCGUCGCACGCUCAUGGUAUGGCCCCGUGUUCACGCUCUACCUCCUCCCAUCCUUCCCCGUCGUGUUCGUCGCCGACCGGGCCGUGGCGCACCGCGUCCUUGUGCAGCUCGGCUCGGCGUUCGCCAACCGGCCUCCGGCCAACCUCGCCACCCGCAUCUUCUCCAGUGAUCAGCACAACAUCACGUCCGCCGCGUACGGCCCGCUGUGGCGCACGCUCCGGCAAAACCUCACCGGCCGGGCGCUCCACCCUUCGAGCAUCCCGCGGUACGCCGCCGCCCGCCGGCGCGCCGCCUCGGGCCUCGUCGACGGCAUCACACGCCAGAUGCGAAGCGGCCAAGGGGUCGUCGUCAUCGAGGGGCUCCUGCACGAGGCCGUCUUCCACGUGAUUGCAUGCAUGUGCUUCGGCCAGGGGCUCGACGACGCCUCCAUCGCGGCAGUCACGUCUCUGCAGAGGCAGUUUCUCAAGGAGGUGGUGGGGUUCCAGGUGUUCGGGUCGAGCCCCAAGGUCAGCAAGCUCCUCUUCUGGCGACGGUACCAGAGGAUGCUGUCCAUGCGCCGGCGGCAGGAGGAGGUGUUCAUCCCGCUGAUACGUGCGUGCCGUGCGCGGCGCAACACCGCCGGCAAGAGCUUUGAAAUGGAUUGCUACGUCGACUCGCUCAUCAGCCUCCGCAUCCCGGAGCAAGGUGGCAGCAGCAGGCACCUGACGGACGGCGAGAUCGUCGCCUUGUGCACCGAACUCUUGUCCGGGCCCGUCGACUCUACGGUAAACAUGUUGCAGUGGGCCAUGGCGAACCUCGUCACACGGCCGGACAUCCAGGCGAAGCUCCGGGCCGAAAUAAACAACGCCGCCGAUGGCCAGGUCCGGGAGGAGGAGCACCUGCCGUACCUCCGGGCGGUGGUCCUGGAGUCGCUGAGGCGGCACCCACCGGCGCGCUUCAUCCUGCCGCACGCGGCGGCCGGGGAGAACGGCACGGUGCUGGACGGCUUCACCGUGCCCAAAGAGGUGUCGGUGAACUUCACGCUGGGCGACAUGGCCAUGGACAGGAAGGUGUGGCCGGACCCCACGCAGUUCCGGCCGGAGCGGUUCCUGCCCGGCGGCGAGGGGGAGGACCUGGACCUCACGGGGAGCAAGGAGAUCAAAAUGAUGCCGUUCGGUGCCGGUCGUCGGAUGUGCCCUGGCAUCGACGUUUCGCUGCUGCACGUCAACCUCCUUGUGGCCACCAUGGUGAGGGCGUUCCAGUGGAGCGAGGUGCCCGGCGAGCCGGUGGACUUCACUGAGACGCUGGAGCUCACCAUAGUCAUGAAGCGCCCACUCCGUGCCAAGGUCGUGCCAUGCCAUGCUACUAGCUAG
rnacentral:rRNA from 1 species